UACGUAGGGUGCGAGCGUUAAUCGGAAUUACUGGGCGUAAAGCGUGCGCAGGCGGUGAUGUAAGUCAGGUGUGAAAUCCCCGGGCUUAACCUGGGAACUGCAUUUGUGACUGCAUCGCUGGAGUGCGGCAGAGGGGGAUGGGAUUCCGCGUGUAGCAGUGAAAUGCGUAGAUAUGCGGAGGAACACCGAUGGCGAAGGCAAUCCCCUGGGCCUGCACUGACGCUCAUGCACGAAAGCGUGGGGAGCAAACAGG
rnacentral:rRNA from 1 species